GACGAACGCUGGCGGCGUGCUUAACACAUGCAAGUCGAACGGAAAGGCCCUGCUUUUGUGGGGUGCUCGAGUGGCGAACGGGUGAGUAACACGUGAGUAACCUGCCCUUGACUUUGGGAUAACUUCAGGAAACUGGGGCUAAUACCGGAUAGGGGCUCCUGCUGCAUGGUGGGGGUUGGAAAGUUUCGGCGGUUGGGGAUGGACUCGCGGCUUAUCAGCUUGUUGGUGGGGUAGUGGCUUACCAAGGCUUUGACGGGUAGCCGGCCUGAGAGGGUGACUGGCCACAUUGGGACUGAGAUACGGCCCAGACUCCUACGGGAGGCAGCAGUGGGGAAUAUUGCACAAUGGGCGGAAGCCUGAUGCAGCAACGCCGCGUGCGGGAUGACUGCCUUCGGGUUGUAAACCGCUUUCGCCUGUGACGAAGCGUGAGUGACGGUAAUGGGUAAAGAAGCACCGGCUAACUACGUG
rnacentral:rRNA from 1 species